rnacentral:rRNA from 1 species
CAGGGAUUGCCCCAGUAACGGCGAGUGAAGCGGCAAUAGCUCAAAUUUGAAAUCUGGCUCUUUCAGGGUCCGAGUUGUAAUUUGCAGAGGGCGCUUUGGCGUCGGCAGCAGCCUAAGUUCCUUGGAACAGGUCAUCAUAGAGGGUGAGAAUCCCGUAUGUGGCUGCUUGUCUUCACCGUGUAAAGCCCCUUCGAUGAGUCGAGUUGUUUGGGAAUGCAGCUCUAAAUGGGAGGUAAAUUUCUUCUAAAGCUAAAUAUUGGCCAGAGACCGAUAGCGCACAAGUAGAGUGAUCGAAAGAUGAAAAGCACUUUGGAAAGAGAGUCAAAAAGCACGUGAAAUUGUUGAAAGGGAAGCGCUUGCAGCCAGACGUGCCCGCAGUUGCUCAUCCGGGGUUCUCCCCGGUGCACUCUUCUGUGGGCAGGCCAGCAUCAGUCCGGGCGGUUGGAGAAAGACCUGUGUCAUGUAGCUCUCUUCGGGGAGUGUUAUAGGGCAGGUGGAAUGCAACCAGCCUGGACUGAGGUCCGCGCAUCUGCUAGGAUGCUGGCGUAAUGGCUGUAAGCGGCCCGUCUUGAAACACGGACCAAGGAGUCUAACAUCUAUGCGAGUGUUUGGGUGUCAAGCCCGAGCGCGUAAUGAAAGUGAACGGAGGUGGGAACCCCUCGGGGUGCACCAUCGACCGAUCCUGAUGUCUUCGGAUGGAUUUGAGUAAGAGCAUAGCUGUUGGGACCCGAAAGAUGGUGAACUAUGCCUGAAUAGGGUGAAGCCAGAGGAAACUCUGGUGGAGGCUCGCAGCGGUUCUGACGUGCAAAUCGAUCGUCAAAUUUGGGCAUAGGGGCGAAAGACUAAU